rnacentral:rRNA from 1 species
GACGUAGGGCGCGAGCGUUGUCCGGAUUUAUUGGGCGUAAAGAGCUUGUAGGCGGUCUGUCGCGUCUGCUGUGAAAAUCCGGGGCUCAACCCCGGACUUGCAGUGGGUACGGGCAGACUAGAGUGUGGUAGGGGAGACUGGAAUUCCUGGUGUAGCGGUGAAAUGCGCAGAUAUCAGGAGGAACACCGAUGGCGAAGGCAGGUCUCUGGGCCACUACUGACGCUGGAGAAGCGGAAAGCAUGGGGAGCGAAC